GGCAGGUGCAACAUUGUAAAUGUCAGAAGAAAGAAGAAGUAGUGAGUAGGAAGCUCCUGCAGGAGGAGAGGCCAGGGAAGAUAAAGGGCUUGGAUUUUGAUCAUGACAGUGAAAUUAGAAGGGAGACUCUGAGAAGGGGUUAGAAACUUUGAGAUGUUGAAUGUCAGUUGUCCAAAUCAAAUUCAGCCAAAAUAACAACAGCCAAA
rnacentral:lncRNA from 1 species